CUUCAGCGAGCCCAGCCACAGCGGCCGGUCCUGGGGCCGGUCCUUGCCGUAGGUGUUGAUCAGGGCGUGCGCUUC
rfam:Streptomyces scabiei 87.22 complete genome